CAAACCUUCAAGCCUUGCUUGGUGUUGGGCGCUGUCUCAGUUGUAAAUUUUUUCAGCAGACUCGCCUUGAAUUAAUUGGCAGCCAGCAAUUGGGUGUUGGAGCGCAGCACAUUUCGCGUUCUCAGCCACAGUUGUUGGCGUCCAAAAAGCUUGUUUCCAC
rnacentral:misc_RNA from 1 species